GAAUACGUGAGAAGGGACAUGAAAAUAUGAGGUGAGAUGAAUAUAAUCCUCUGUUGGGAUGAUGGGUAAGGGAAAUUAUAGGGGUUGAGAAAGAGGAUAUAUGUGAGAGGUUUCCCGCCGUUCCAUUUUCAUCUGAGGACCGGUGGGUUAGAAUUAGAAAUUAUAAAAUUUCUUCUCAUUCCCCUAGGUAACAUUCUAUUCUAUUUGAAAAGGGCAUGUCCCAAAUCCGAACCCAAUCAAUAGACAAGGGAACGUGAAAAAAAAAUCACAUAAUCCAAACACAUACCUAGAUAUUUUUCACUUCAUAUCCUUUUCUACAUAUGCCCAUUGUCUAUCCAAACGCCACCUUAG
rnacentral:lncRNA from 1 species